CACCAUCAUUAACACUAGACGUGCACUUUGCUUUCAGGGAGCAUCUGGGAGGGGGUUUGCUGGGCGCGCGGCGGCGGCAGAGGAUAGAAGAAGGAGAGUUCGAGCGCUCAGGGGCAUGGCAAGCAAUCCCCCGGAUUCCCAUUAGUUCUGUCUCUUGCUCUCUCCUAGGCUAGUUCUGUCUAGUUUAGGUGGAGGGCCUCCUGUUGAGGCCUCUAACUUUUGUUAGGGGUUCUUCCCUUAAUGCACGCAGCCUCUGGCUUGCGUAGACUUUUCUUUUUCUUUUUCUUUCUUUUGCCUUGAAGAAAAGAUGUGCAUCUUGCCAGGGAGAGCAGCACUAAAAGCGAAUUUAAGGUGCCAGCCCAUGAAAAAUGCAUGUGUUUUACCAGCCCCACGAUGUACACCUUUGAUUAAAUAAAGGCAGGUGUGCUGCCAGCCCAAAGACAGCCAGGGAAAGCAGCGCCAAAAUGAUGUCAUGCAGAUUCAUCAAUGAGGCAUUUCAAGUGUCAUGCUGUUGCUGUAUUUGCACUAAGAUAGAGCAACCUGAGGAUUAAAAUCUGAUGGAUGAGGGUGAAAUCUCGAAGGGGAACAACUCCCCUACAUCAUAGGAUACAUUGUUUCCUGGUUUUGUACCUGAAUUUCAAACGUGCCAGAAAUUAUAAAUGAUUACAGAAAAGUAAAGAAAAAACUACGUAGGCAGAGAAACUCUCCCUACAUCAAUAAAGGAAAAGGAGACACAUUGGCCAAAAAAGAGCCAUGAGUCUUCUUCACCACAAAAUAUGAAAAAGAGAAGCUAAUGUGGAUCUAAAAGGUUCCUAGAAGCACCUGGCUCUAGAACCUGGCUGCGGGGAGUAUUCUUGUUUUCAAUAGCGCGGCGUGUGGAGACUAGUUUGUGGGCAUAUUGAACAGAAUGGGCAUGAAGUUGUUGAGCAAGCUUCGUGGCAUGCUGGUGAUCCAGUAACAUAGAUCCCGUAUGCACAUCGUUACAAAUUUGGAUGAUGAGCAUCUGUGCUUAGACUUGCACCUCUGGGACAGCGUAAAUGUAGCUAUGUAGACCUCUUGCUGAAAUAAGUCAAAUGCAAGGAACAGGAAGACAUGGCUUGCUCAAAGCGGCAGCAACCGUUAAGUUUGCUUUUCACUUUUUUUGUUCCCUGUCUGUCUGCAGCCAUUCACCCUUCCAGACGUGGAACCAGUAAAAUUCAUCCAGUAAAUGAGAGUUUAAUGGAGGGGGCUUAAGUGCUUUGUGUUUGAACUGGUCUGGUCCAGUUGCAAAGAAGCUGCAGUAGCUGUCUUGCAGAUUACAGCAUUUGCUUUUGAAUCCUUGAUGAGUCCAGGGCCACAUCCUCAAGAUAAUCAUAUAACUCAUGCGCAACUCACCUGCCCCUAUCCAUUUCUUCAAGGUUAGAUCCCAUGCUGGAAUUGUUGGCAAUGAAUGCGCAGAUGCCAUUGCUAAGCAUCAGGCCAUUCAGAAUAAUGACGUAGAUAUAACCUUCCCAUGUGCAAACCUUGAAGGCAAUCCGUUUCAUGACACCACCUGGCUUGCCUUUGAGGAAACUUCCUGCACUUAUGCAAAUGCGUCUAGACGUCUGAACCCACCUGCCGUAAAGCUUAAACACUUUUCCAACCACCAUGAUGCUUUACGGGAACACAUGCACUCAUAACACAGACUUGGAAAGGCCAACACCAACACAGGGUACUUCUCCUUCUACCAAAGUUUGCUUCCCCACAUCCACAAAAAUAUCAGCAAUGCCUUCUGGACCAUGUCGACACUCUAUUUCAAAAUGAGGCAAAACAUUUCUAAAUACUGCACAGCCCUCUUUCCUCCAAGCACGCGGUGGCCUUCAAAAUUUCCACCAGCCCACAAUGUCCCCUCUGUGGGGAACUUGACAGUGCCCUUCACAUCUUAUCAGGAUGCAAAAAAUUCAACCAUGUCUGGUAUGGUAACUGAGCGACAUAAUAUUGCCAGCAGAAUCCUCCUAUAAGCCAUCAGCAAAGGCCCUCUUGGGGCAGGUAUUGCCUCCAUGCACUUUGGCAGAGCAGACUGUCUUGCCUUGCAAGACCUACAGAUCCCAGAACAUGCUACUAAUAGGACCCUUCCCAAAUAUUUUUUUCCCGCGCCGCCUCCCUGGUAAGGAUAGGCUCACUUCCACUGGCAGCCGUCCUGAUGCUCUAUUAGUUGUUUCUCUGAAAAGGGUGCCAAGGUCAAAUCCUCGUUAUGAGUUGAGAAGUACAGGGGGGCGCGGGGGGAACAGGGAGGACUCAGCGCCAGCCACAGGCACUCCACCCACACUCAAGGCUCGUGACCCCUGUCAGUUCCACCCAGCUGCAGCUCAGCGACACAUCCACCUUGUAGAAGUAAAAUACUGUGAGGACACCCGGCCCAACAGCCAGCUUGAGGCCUCCAAGCUGCAGCACUGCGAACUUUGUCGUCAUCUUUCUGGGGCCUCAGCUCAAGUCACCCUCCAUACUAUCCUGCUAGGUGUGGGAGGAGUCAUCUACACCCCGCACACAUUGGAGCCUCUUAAGGAGCUUGGUCUUGACACUUUCAAGGCCACCAAGCUUGUCCGGAAGCUUCAUGCUCAUUCUGUCUUGUAUGCUUACAAACUUGCCAGCACCAGACGCGCUCUUGAGAAAACUGUCAUGCGAGAUCACUUUCCUACACAUUUCACUGAUCUGUCAACCAUUUCAUCCUAGGCACUUGAGACAUUUACUUGAUAGUUCUUCUAGCAUCUGUACUUCGUCCGAGUCCUUUGUCCAUCUGCUAAGAAUUAGGGGGGUAGUGCUGUGUGCUGCCAGGUCAGUGAAAUGUGUAGGACAGUGAUCUCGCAUGACAGCUGUCGCGUCAUAUUAUUAUUAUUGCUAGAUUGCUGCAGUAUCCUGGAUUGGGUAGUUUGGUCAGUUGGACUGGAUAUUUAUCUAGCUCUGAUGGAACUGGCUGAGCCAGUUAUUAAGAAUGUUUGCUUAUCCCUAAUUGAUAUUGGACUUACUCACAUAACAUGUAAAGCACGACCGAUGGCCGAGUAGAGCUGCCUGAGCUCCGGGGAGAGCGGGGCAGGCAGCCAAGAAACCACAGGGAGUAUGGUUUUGGUGUAAGGAAUACUCUGUAGGCUGCUUCUGAUGGGGAGAGCAGCUGAACCAACACAGAAUCACUUCCCCUGGGACUUGCCGGAAACAGCGGUUCCGUCCUAGAGUUGCGCUAGAGUUACCUAGCCCCUGGACCUCAAACCAAUUUUAUAAUAAUAAUAUAAUAUAUAUGUAUACAUAUAUAUAUAUAUAUAAUAAUAACUGGCUCAGCCAGUUCCAUCAGAGCUAGAUAAAUAUCCAGUCCAACUGACCAAACUACCCAAUCCAGGAUACUGCAGCAAUCUAGCAAUAACAAUAAUAUGACGUGACAAAACCUUUUUCAACUCUCAACAAGGUCAGGCACCGGAUACUGCGAGUAACCCAUCUGGUCCCCACAGACUUCUUUCUUCUGCUUUCUCUUGGUGAAGGGGAUACACGGUACCUUGGCCCUAGGUAUCCCCUUUUCCUUAAUUGAUGUGGGGAGUGUUUUCACUGCCUGCAUAGUUUUUUUUCUUUUCUUUCUUUGAUGAGCCCCAAGAAUAAUACCCUUAUACUCCAUAAUCUGACUCCUGCAAACUCACCCUUGAUCCACCUCCGAGAGUCUGGGAUUGGCGCGGAGAGUGACACACUCAGUGACUGCUUCCACAGAGCGAUUUCUCUCAGCAUCUUUUGCAUUUUUUCGUUUUUCCUGUUCUACUUCCUUCCUCCCAAAUACUGAGGCUACAUGUGCUGCCAUUGUGUCUAACAUAUGUUGCGUUUUCAAAUGCUGGAUGUGAAAAUAGUGGAGGCUACCCAGCCUGGUCGCAUGCCAUGAAAACAAGGGGCUGCAUAUGCUUGCACUUUUAGCACGUGUCUCUUGUGCAGUUUCUGAUACUCAAUGAAUUAAUGGCUGCACCUGCAGUCAAGGUGCCCCAUUUAGGACUCUUGCUGCAGUGCUGAGACUGCGGUGAGGGGACCUUGACCAGUCAACUGACAUGGGGCCCCCUAUCGCACGAGCCUGGAGCUCCUUGACUGCCAAACAGCAGGCUUCAGGCAGAGUGGUAAGUGUGAAAAGCUGUAAAACCAGGAGUACAAAGUGCAUGUGUCUGAUACUGAAGAUAGAAGGUGCAGGAGACAGAUGUUAUUUGUUUCCAGAAUCUCCUUCUUCCGCAAACUGACGACACCUGACGUCUGCGUCUUCCAUCUUCUGCGCUAGGUCAGGGUGUACUGUUCUCAUGGUUUUACUGCUUCUUACCCCUCCCACUGCCUGCAGCCUGCUGUCUGGCAGUCAAGGAGGGCAGAGACAGAUGGCCUCUGUCUCCAGAGGUGUUGUGGAGGCAGAAGACAUCUGUUCCCUAUCUCCUUGUCUGACGAAGCUUGGUUUAUUGGGAAGGUUAAAAAACAAGGGAACGCCAGCAAUUUUGCCAUUUGGCAGUGGCAAACCCUAAAUUGCUUGAAUCCGAAUCCAGGCAUGGCUAUGUAGUGCAUGCAUGAAUGAAUGCACUGCAGCUUCUUGCAAAGGUUUUGGUGCUGGUUACUUUGAAAACUGGUCUUUUCCUAUCUUGAUCAAUCAAUAAGUUGUGAGCCUCUGAGCCUGGAUCCACACUAUUAGAAGCUCGAUGCCGAUAUUUGCCUGAACAGUAUUUUCUUGCAGUUUUACUUAUUCCAGACAAUCACAAGCAUUGCAUUCAUUCUUUUCAGAAUUUGAUUUUCCCUACUUAGAAACUUCCAUUGCAAACCUGGCAAGAGCCACGCUUAAGCUGCUUUGCAAGGAAUUGUGUUGGAGGGUCGGCAGCAAGCAGAAGGUGCAGCUCGAGCAUUCCAAGUAUUGUAGUUUUGUACAUUCAAGCAUGCUUCACAAUGACUAUAGCUCACAGCUACUCACUCUGUGCUAUACCGACCUGCAGUCUUCGUUGUGCCACCCUAAGGCUGAAAAUUAAACUGGCAAACAUUGGAUGUGCACCUUGACACAAAGAUUCACUCUUUAUCAAACAAAUAAGUGUGCCCACCUGAAUGGUGCCUCUGAAACUGACUCUUCAGCCUUCUUGAAAAGUCAAUUUCAAAGGCACCAUUCAGGUGAGCACAAUUAUUCGUUUGAUAAAGAGUGAAUCUUUGUGCCAGGGUGCACAUCCAAUGUUUGCCAGUUUAAUUUUCAGCCUCAGGGUGGCACAACGAAGACUGCAGGUCGGUAUAGCACAGAGUGAGUAGCUGUGAGCUAUAAUCAUUGUGAAGCAUGCUUGAAUGUACAAAACUACAAUACUUGGAAUGCUCGAGCUGCACCUUCUGCUUGCUGCCGACCCUCCAACACAAUUCCUAACAAAGCACAUUGAUUCAUUUGAUACAGAGUGGACCUUUGUGUCAGGGUGCACAUCCCCGAUCGUGUGUGUGUGUGUGUGUGUGUGUGUGUGUGUGUGUGUGUGUGUGUGUGUGUGUGUGUGUGUGUGUGUGUGUGUGUGUGUGUGUGUGUGUGUGUGUGUGUGUGUGUGUGUGUGUGUGUGUGUGUGUGUGUGUGUGUGUGUGUGUGUGUGUGUGUGUGUGUGUGUGUAUGUGUGUGACCUGCAAACAUGUCGGACCCCUAAACAACAUUUCCACACCCUCUUGUUGCGUCCAAACCAGUGCUUGCUAGUCAGGGAACCUUCCCUUAAUGCACACGGCCUUU
rnacentral:lncRNA from 1 species